rnacentral:rRNA from 1 species
GACGAACGCUGGCGGCGUGCUUAACACAUGCAAGUCGAACGGUGAAGCGCCUUCCUUUUUGGUGGGUGUGGAUGAGUGGCGAACGGGUGAGUAACACGUGAGUAACCUGCCCCCUUCUUCUGGAUAACCGCAUGAAAGUGUGGCUAAUACGGGAUAUUCUGGGUCUGUCGCAUGAUGGGUCUGGGAAAGAUAUUGUUUCGGUGGGGGAUGGGCUCGCGGCCUAUCAGCUUGUUGGUGGGGUGAUGGCCUACCAAGGCGGUGACGGGUAGCCGGCCUGAGAGGGUGGACGGUCACACUGGGACUGAGACACCGACCAGACUACUACGGGAGGCAGCAGUGGGGAAUAUUGCACAAUGGGCGCAAGCCUGAUGCAGCGACGCCGCGUGAGGGAUGGAGGCCUUCGGGUUGUGAACCUCUUUCGCCAGUGAAGCAGGCCUGCCUCGUUUGUGGGUGGGUUGACGGUAGCUGGAUAAGAAGCGCCGGCUAACUACGUG